AUUGAACGCUGGCGGCAGGCCUAACACAUGCAAGUCGAGCGGUAGAGAGAAGCUUGCUUCUCUUGAGAGCGGCGGACGGGUGAGUAAUGCAUAGGAAUCUGCCUGGUAGUGGGGGAUAACGUUCGGAAACGGACGCUAAUACCGCAUACGUCCUACGGGAGAAAGCAGGGGACCUUCGGGCCUUGCGCUAUCAGAUGAGCCUAGGUCGGAUUAGCUAGUUGGUGGGGGAAUGGCUCACCAAGGCGACGAUCCGUAACUGGUCUGAGAGGAUGAUCAGUCAUACUGGAACUGAGACACGGUCCAGACUCCUACGGGAGGCAGCAGUGAGGAAUAUUGGACAAUGGGCGAAAGCCUGAUCCAGCCAUGCCGCGUGUGUGAAGAAGGUCUUCGGAUUGUAAAGCACUUUAAGUUGGGAGGAAGGGCAGUAAAUUAAUACUUUGCUGUUUUGACGUUACCGACAGAAUAAGCACCGGCUAACUCUGUGCCAGCCGCCGCCGUAA
rnacentral:rRNA from 1 species